GACGAACGCUGGCGGCGUGCUUAACACAUGCAAGUCGAACGGAAAGGCCCUGCUUUUGGGGGCUGCUCGAGUGGCGAACGGGUGAGUAACACGUGAGUAACCUGCCCUUGACUUUGGGAUAACUUCAGGAAACUGGGGCUAAUACCGGAUAGGAGCUCCUGCUGCAUGGUGGGGGUUGGAAAGUUUCGGCGGGUGGGGAUGGACUCGCGGCUUAUCAGCGUGUUGGUGGGGUAGUGGCUUACCAAGGCUUUGACGGGUAGCCGGCCUGAGAGGGUGACCGGCCACAUUGGGACUGCGAUACGGCCCAGACUCCUACGGGAGGCAGCAGUGGGGAAUAUUGCACAAUGGGCGGAAGCCUGAUGCAGCAACGCCGCGUGCGGGAUGACGGCCUUCGGGUUGUAAACCGCUUUCGCCUGUGACGAAGCGUGAGUGACGGUAAUGGGUAAAGAAGCACCGGCUAACUACGUG
rnacentral:rRNA from 1 species